rnacentral:tRNA from 1 species
GCCGAAGUGGCGGAACUGGCAGACGCGCUGGACUCAAAAUCCAGUGGGGCUCGUCCUCGUGCGGGUUCGACUCCCGCCUUCGGCA